rnacentral:rRNA from 1 species
UACGAAGGUGGCUAGCGUUGUUCGGAAUUACUGGGCGUAAAGCGCACGUAGGCGGAUAUUUAAGUCAGGGGUGAAAUCCCGGGGCUCAACCCCGGAACUGCCUUUGAUACUGGGUAUCUAGAGUCCAGAAGAGGUGAGUGGAAUUCCGAGUGUAGAGGUGAAAUUCGUAGAUAUUCGGAGGAACACCAGUGGCGAAGGCGGCUCACUGGUCUGGUACUGACGCUGAGGUGCGAAAGCGUGGGGAGCAAACAGG